rnacentral:rRNA from 1 species
UACAGAGGGUGCGAGCGUUAAUCGGAAUUACUGGGCGUAAAGCGUGCGUAGACGGUUAUUUAAGUCGGGUGUGAAAGCCCCGGGCUCAGCCUGGGAAUUGCAUUCGAGACUGAAUAGCUAGGGUACGGUAGAGGGAAGCGGAAUUUCCGGUGUAGCGGUGAAAUGCGUAGAUAUCGGAAGGAACAUCAGUGGCGAAAGCGGCUUCCUGGACCAGUACCGACGUUCAGGCACGAAAGCGUGGGGAGCAAACAGG